rnacentral:rRNA from 1 species
AUGCUGCGUCAGGAUAUCACGGCGGGUACGCGGCAGCAGUCGUGGGCUCUCUCCGACGGCCUCGUCACUUUCAACGGCCGCCUCUACAUUCCGCCGUCGUCCCCGCUACUCCAGGAGAUUCUCAGUGCCGUGCACGAUGAUGGGCAUGAAGGCGUCCUGCGCACCUUGCAUCGUCUCCGCCGCGACUUCCAUGCACCUAACCUUCGCAAGACGGUGCAAGAGUACAUCCGCACUUGCAGUACUUGCCAGAGGUACAAGUCCGAGCACUUGCACCCCGCUGGGCUGUUGCUGCGGCUGCCGGUGCCCACGGGCGUGUGGACUGACGUCGGCAUCGACUUCGUGGAAGCGCUCCCUCGCGUGGGUGGGAAAUCUGUCAUCCUCACCGUGGUGGAUCGCUUCAGCAAGUAUUGCCACUUUGUGGCGCUGGCCCACCCGUACACGGCAGAAUCAGUGGCGCAGGUGUUCUUCGCUGAGAUUGUUCGUCUCCAUGGCGUGCCGCAGUCCAUGGUCUCUGACCGUGACCCCGUCUUCACCUCGGCUUUUUGGCGGGAGCUCAUGCGCCUCACCGGGACAAAGCUGCACAUGACGUCAGCGUUUCAUCCACAGUCGGAUGGCCAAACGGAGGCUGCUAACAAGAUCAUUGUGAUGUACCUACGUUGUCUCACCGGGGAUCGUCCCAGGCAGUGGCUCCGGUGGCUUCCCUGGGCCGAGUACAUCUACAACACCGCCUACCAGACAGCGACCCAAGAAACUCCGUUCAAGCUUGUGUAUGGCCGUGACCCUCCCACUAUUCGCUCUUACGAGCCGGGCGACACGAGGGUAGCCGCAGUGGCCAGGAGCAUGGCGGAGCGCGACGAGCUUCUCGAGGACGUCCGCUAUCGUCUACAACAGGCACAGGCGGUCUACAAGUCCUACUACGACAGACGCCAUCGGGACAUUCGGCAUGACGUGGGCGAUUGGGUCUGGCUUCGCCUUCGCCAGCGCGCCGCGUCCUCUCUCAACUUGCCAACCAGGGGCAAGCUCAAGCCACGCUUCUAUGGGCCGUACCGCAUUUCAGAGGUCGUCAACGACGUGGCUUACCGCCUUGAGCUUCCGGCACGCUCGCGCCUCCAUGACGUGUUCCACGUGGGCCUCCUCAAGAAGUUCUUCGGCACGCCUCCAACUGCACCGCCGGGUUUGCCUCCGAUCCACAACGGAGCGGCUGUUCCAGAACCGGAGCGCGUGACUCAUGCGCGCCUAGCACGCGGCGUUCGCCAGCUACUCGUCCACUGGAAGGGUGAAGCAGCAUCAUCAGCUACAUGGGAGGAUCUUGACAGUUUCGUCGAGCGCUACCCCGCUUUUCAGCUCGAGGACGAGCUGCUCGUCGAGGGGGGAAGAGAUGUCAUGUGGGGCACGUCCUACAGGCGUGGGCCACGCGGCCAGGAGCAGCAGCCGUCGACCGCAUCAGGCGAGGCGUAG